UGGGAGGGAGGGAGGCCUGGACUCUGCAACGGCUUUACUGGAGUCCCUGCAAGGAGGAACAUUCCCGAACAACGGGUGAUGGCAGUGUUCCGUCCACAACAUCGUCAUCGAAUCCAGAACGGACCCCAGCUCGACCACAGACACUAGCCGAAGAACCGACACCAACUCAACCACCAACGCCGAGUGCCAUCACGACACCGCAGCGUGUGGUUCUAGGCAAGAGGAAACGAGGAGGAGAGGAUCGGGCCCAGCAGGAACGGCACCAUGAACAGCACAUGGCCCAGCAGGAACGGCACUUGGACUGGGCCAAAGCGUCUGCUGAGCGGAGAUGGGAGUUGGAUGCGGCCUUGAGAAGGGAGGAGGCCGUCUUGAGAAGGGAGGAGGCCGCUCAAGCAGAGACCUUCAACCUAGCCUUCCUGCACACUCUUGGCGAGGUGCUAGGGGGACUGGGCAGCCGACGUGGCCCGUCUCCUCCGUGAUACUUCAAAUAACCUUAAUAGUUAUUGUACAUAUUAUAUAUUUUUUAUCUAGUUAAUUUUUAAAUGCAACAUUUGUACUUUCUUGUUUAUUUAUUUUCUUUAAAAUGUGCAUUUUAUAUUUAUUUUUACAAUGCCAUGUAUAUU